UCUUUUUUAGUUGACACACCAAUAACCCCAAUUAAAAAUUUUGACAGCAAUACCCUCGACUACUACAUGUUCCUUGCAGUCGUCCACUUUGGACCGUUAAGUGCCAACAAGGACCACGUGGCAUGGAUUCAAUUGUCCAUGUAGCUAUUUACAUGUCCAUUACUUAAUGACAUAGACUUAUUUACUAAAACUAAAAUAUAAUAAAUAUUUAAAAUUUAAUUUAAUUAAAAUUAACUUAAUUAAUAUAUUAAAUUAACCUAAAUUGAAAACUUGUGAAGAAAAAAUAGGCAAACCCUAACUCUAAUUUCUUCAACCGCCUCCCCCCUUCUUCUUCUUCUUCUUCUUCUUCUUCUUCUUCUUCUUUCUUAGGUUUUGGGAUGGGAGCACGAUGCUGAUGCAAGAUGCAAAGAUGGAGGGCUGCAUGGACAUCGUCGAGGACGCCGACUGGGAGCAUUGGUGCAAGAUGUGAAGAUGAAGGGCUCCCAGGUGCUCUGAUGGUCUCUGCGUUGCCUUCCUUAGCUACUACGACAACCAUUGCGAACUCCGAUGACCAGCACCUUCAGAUCUAGGUUUUGAGAAGAUGAACGAGAGGAGCAUGUGCGAGUUUCUAGUUUUGUGAUGACCGAGGUGCUCACGACUUGGGCUCCAUGAACGGCAACAGUGGAGCUCCAUGACGAACAAAUUUGGGCAACUGUGGCACAAGAACAAAUCUUCAUUUUUGUCUUCUUUUCAUUAGUUCUUCGACUGAUUUUUUUUCUUUUUUUCCUUUGUUCUUAUUUACUGUUUAGCUAAUUUUGCCAUAAUUUUUUUGGGUAUUUGAGUUGUUUUUUUUGUGUUGUUAGGAGUAUUGCUCUUAAAAUGUUUGGGUAUUUAUUGAACAUCAACGAUAUUUUGUUUUUAAAAUUUCUAUGUUAUUUUUUAUUGAGUGUCAAUUAUACAGAGUAUUAAACUUUCUGGAUUUGUAUUGAGUAUUGAUUAUAAUGGGUAUUACACCUUUUGGGUUUGUAAUGGACAUUGAUUGUACUAGGUAUUCAAAUUUUUGGGUUUGUAAUGGGUAUUGUUUUUGGUAUUGAACUCAUGGUUGUGUUG